GGAAUAUUGGACAAUGGGCGCAAGCCUGAUCCAGCCAUGCCGCGUGCAGGGUGAAGCAUCUUCGGGUUGUAAAGCUCUUUUGUCAGGGAAGAAACGGUGGGAGCUAAUAUCUCCUGCUAAUGACGGUACCUGAAGAAUAAGCACCGGCUAACUACGUGCCAGCAGCCGCGGUAAUACGUAGGGUGCAAGCGUUAAUCGGAGUUACUGGGCGUAAAGCGUGCGCAGGCGGUUUUGUAAGUCUGAUGUGAAAUCCCCGGGCUCAACCUGGGAAUUGCAUUGGAGACUGCAAGGCUAGAAUCUGGCAGAGGGGGGUAGAAUUCCACGUGUAGCAGUGAAAUGCGUAGAUAUGUGGAGGAACACCGAUGGCGAAGGCAGCCCCCUGGGUCAAGAUUGACGCUCAUGCACGAAAGCGUGGGGAGCAAACAGGAUUAGAUACCCCAG
rnacentral:rRNA from 1 species